AUAGGUUAAGUUAAUAAGGGCGCAUGGUGGAUGCCUUGGCACUAGAAGGCGAUGAAGGACGUGACUAACUACGAUAUGCCUCGGUUAGCUGUAAGUAAGCUUACCCGGGGGUUUCCGAAUGGGGCAACCCGAUCUUAAUGAUCAUCAUCUUUUUGAAUUCAUAGAUUAGAUGAAGCAAACGCUGUGAACUGAAACAUCUCAGUAGCAGUAGGAAAGUAAAGAAAUUUCGAUUCCGUCAGUAGCGGCGAGCGAACGCGGAAGAGCCCAAACCUGGAUGCUUGCAUCCAGGGGUUGUAGGACUGAUGUUGAGUUACAAAGGUAUAAGAUAGCAGAAACAGUUGGGAAGCUGUUCCAAAGAGGGUGACAGGCCCGUAUGCGAAAUCUUGUACUCUCUAAUCAGGAUCCUGAGUACGGCCCAGCACGUGAAAUUGGGUCGGAAUCUGGGAGGACCAUCUC
rnacentral:rRNA from 1 species